rnacentral:rRNA from 1 species
AACGAACGCUGGCGGCAUGCCUAACACAUGCAAGUCGAACGAGACCUUCGGGUCUAGUGGCGCACGGGUGCGUAACGCGUGGGAACCUGCCCUUAGGUUCGGAAUAACUCCCCGAAAGGGGUGCUAAUACCGGAUAAUGUCUUCGGACCAAAGAUUUAUCGCCUUUGGAUGGGCCCGCGUUGGAUUCGCUAGUUGGUAGGGUAAAAGCCUACCAAGGCGACGAUCCAUAGCUGGUCUGAGAGGAUGAUCGGCCACACUGGGACUGAGACACGGCCCAGACUCCUACGGGAGGCAGCAGUGGGGAAUAUUGGACAAUGGGCGAAAGCCUGAUCCAGCAAUGCCGCGUGAGUGAUGAAGGCCUUAGGGUUGUAAAGCUCUUCUACCCGGGAUGAUAAUGACAGUACCGGGAGAAUAAGCUCCGGCUAACUCCGUG